rnacentral:lncRNA from 10 species
GCGCGUAGACGAUGCGGAACUUCUGCUCCAUCUUGUGCCACUUGCUGUACCAGCUGUCCUCAUCGGUGACGAGCGGGAGGUACGGGUGCUCGGGCGAGUUGUCCUCGCUCGUGCUGCUCUCGGCGCUGUGCCGCUCCUCCUCGUCCGUCAGGUAGUAAAGAAAUUGAUGGUCCAAGAGGUUGACUGAUCUGUUCGGAGUCACAUGGCUUAUGAGUAGUCAAGCAGUUCCAGGCAUUUCUGCAGAGGUCUGAUGUGCACAGCACUGUGCUGGGCACUAGUGCUGGGAGACAGAUGCAGUGUGGUGGAGUGCGUGCCCAGGAACCGGGAAGGAGCUAUGGGAGCCAGGAGCCAGGGCAUCAGGAACAUCCCUCCCAGGACUCACUCACACCUAUUCUCCAACUCUGCCUACCUGCUCAAUUCACCUGAUGCUCUGCCAGUGGAUUGCUGAUGUCUCUACAUUGAUUCAGAUUUGCACCCACAUCUGAAAAUGGUCAGCAGGCAGGGACCCUCUGUCACCACAGGUGGAGGAAGAGGAGAUGAAAGAGCCUUGUCUGACACCCU